AUGUUUCAAUUUUUAGUAGAUCCUAUUAUUGUUGCAUUGUAUCAGGAAAAAGAACCAACAAUACAAAAAAGUUUAUUAAAAACAUUGAAAGAAAUAGCUCAAAAAUUAAAAAAAAUAAAAAUACCUUUUACCUCUAACCAUAUUAAAAAAAAACAAAAUGUCACUAACAAAAGUAAAAAACCGAAAUGUGAAGUUAGUCAAGUUGGUCAAGUUGGUCAAGUUGGUCAAGUUGGUCAAGUUGGUCAAGUUAGUCAAGUUAGUCAAGUUAGUCAAGUUAGUCAAGUUAGUCAAGUUAGUCAAAUGCAAGUUAGUCAAAUGCAAGUUAGUCAAGUUAGUCAAAUGCAAGUUAGUGGGAUGCAGAAUAUAUAUAUCUCUUAUUUUAUUAAUAAUAAUGAUAAUAAUUGUAUUGUUAAUGAUAUUUGUGAAAAUUAUUUAAAGGAAAAUACAAAUAAUAACUAUCUUCAAUAUUUCCCAUUUUUUUCGUGUUUAUAUAUUUAUAAAUUUCUUAUUAUUCAUUCUGCUUUAUAUUAUAUUCAAAAUAUACCUAAUAUUGUAUUACCUAUAGAUGGUAUAAAUAUUCAUAAUUUUCAAAAAUUUUGUAUUUUAUUUAAAUUUGGUAAAAAUAAAUUUCAAAAAAAAAGUGAAUAUUAUUAUAAAGAAAAAAUAAUUCAACGAUUGAACAGUAUUGAAGAAAUGAGGACAAAUACUAAUAUUAAUAAUAAUAAUGUUACUAUUAAUUCUAAUAUGAGUUAUAAUGUGAAUGAUAAUGUAUAUGGUAGUGGAUCUACAGAAAUGGUAUACUUAAGAAAGAUAAAAAAAAUAAAUAAAUAUAUAAAAUUAAAAAAUAGGCAUUUAAAAUGUGAUAAUAAUUUUAUAUGUUAUAAUGAAUUUUUUUUACAAACAAAAAAAGAAGACUCUUCAUUAUCAUCAUCAGUAUCAUCAUUAUCAUCAUCAUUGUUAUCAUCCGUCUUAUCUGGUCCUUUAUUGUCUAAUCGUUUAUUGUCUAAUCCUUUAUUAUCUAAUCCAGUAUCUCCUAAAAGUCCUUUUUUAUUAUUACCACUAACAGAAGAUGAUAAAACACAAUUCUCUCAUUUAUAUAUAAACAUAGAAACAUAUACAAUUAUAUUAAAUGCACUUAAAACUAUUUAUUAUUCAUUAUUUAUAAAAAACAAUUCUUUAAAAUAUCAAUCUAUUUUUAUUAUAAUAGAAAUUCUAAUUAAUUUAUUUUUAAAAAUAGUUUUAAACGAAAAGUAUAAUAUAUACGAAUCAUGGGAUAAAAUUCUACGACAGAACAAAAACAAACGCUUAAUACUUAGACAAAAAAUUAAUUCUAAUUUUGUGUAUAUCUCUGGAUAUAGAAAAAAACAAUUUCAGGGAAUCUAUAAAAAUGGUUUUUUACAUACUGGUCAUUUGAAAGAGAGAAAAAAAAAAGUUAAGUUGGCAGAAGUUAAAAAUGUAGAAGAAAAGGUAAAAUAUAUGAACAGAGAAAAAAAAAAAAAUAUACAACAUCUUAAAAAGAAAAAAAAUACAUGUCGAUUGUGGGAAUACUAA
ensembl:lncRNA